rnacentral:ribozyme from 1 species
ACUCGUCUGAGCGAGUAUAAACACCAUUAGGCUCAGAGCGUCCCUUCCCAAGAGAGAAAACCCUAUAGGCUCGUUGGGAAGGGGGUUGGA